GGCCUCCCGGGGCGGCUGCGCGCGCCUCGCCCCACGUUUCCGCUCGCUGCCCGGCCGGCCCUCCCGACGGCGCCGCGCCCCGCCGCAGAGAUUCCUGUUUGUGAGGAAACCCGAAGCUGCCGAAGAAAUCUAAAAACUUCUGGUGUUUGUCAGCGUGUGACGUUAGGUUUCUUUGGAGCUGUUAGGUACACGUCUGAAACACGGGGAGAAACUUCUCGAACAGCCUUGACUACCGAGUCUCGUUGUUGCUCUUCCGCUCUGUCGGCCAAAGGGUGCCCGGUAAUUGGACUUGAAACCCUGAAUCAGUGCACGGUUCUUGAAGCACCGCUUCUUGGCUCCAAGCUGGCUUUAUGAAUACUGAGCUGGACUGAGAGCUGGAAAGAAAUACUUGGUCCAUGCCAUGGUUUCCUGGUCAUCCUGUGAGGUGGGAGUACUUAUCCUGCUGUCCCGUUUAGAAGGAUUCUAAAGUCAAAAGCUUUUGUAAGCUCAUACACUUAUUCUGGUGCUGGAUUCUAGGGCAACACAGCUUUGAAGAAACAUGUUUACAGGUUCCUGUUCCAACUUCAGACUUACUAAAUUAAACUUUGGGAAAAGGAGCCCAGGAGCAGGAGCUGUAUCACAGCUGUUGUGUAACGAAGUUCCGCAGACUGAGGGCUUACACAACAGAAUGUAUGGAGGCUGCAAGUCCAGGGCACGGUUGAUCUCUCCUGAAGGCUCUCUCCUGGACCAGCAGACAGCCGCCUUCUCCCUGUGUCCUUACAUGGCCAUCCCUCUGUUCCAGCAUCCCUGCUGUCUAACUUUCCUCCUCUUAUAAGGACACUGGUUGGACUGAACUAAGGCUUAUUCUGAAGACCUCGUUUUAACUUAAUCCCCUCUUUAAAGACCCUGUCUCCAAAUAUAGCUACAGUCUGAGGUGCUGGGGUUUUUAUGAAUUCGGCAAGAAGUGGGCACAAUUCAGCCCAUAACAAUCAGUAUAUCUUGUUUGCAACUUAGGUUUCACACCAUUUUCCACAUUAGAGUUCUCUGAGCACAUGCCCCCUCUUCCUUCUAGAUUUUGAGCUUGAGGGCAGAGCUCCCAUCUGUGUCCUCACAGUGUGGCAAGCUCUGGGUGGAUGCUGAGUGCUGUGGCUCUGUCCAGACCCAGUACAGGGAGCUGAGUGUCCUCUUCUGUCCUCCAUCUGCACCAGUACACAAUACGUGUGUCUCCAAUGAACUAAUGAUCCUUGUAGAUCUUGUUGUUGGAGAAGGCAGUUUUUAUCUAAUACCUGCUUGGAAACUUUUGUUGUCAUUGAUUUCUUUCUGAUCAAAAUAGAGAAAAGAAUUGGCUAUUUGAGAAUUCCCAGAACCAGGCAGACAUACUCAUUCAUGUUCUCUGCAUGUGCUGCAUUAUGGGGGACAAGUUAAAAUGUGCUCCCUGUCCUUCAGGAAUUUAGUAAGAGAGCAAAUAACCAGAAUGUAGGACAGAAUGUGACCAGCGCACUAAGAUACAAACAGAGAAGGCUUUGGGACAGAGGCAGGAUCUAAGCUGAGAUUUUAUGGAUGGGUUCGAUUUGGGCAGGAAGGUAUAAAUGUAGUGUCCAGGUGGUAGUAAAAGAUUAGGAUUGAGGGAAGCUGGGGAGGGUUCAGGGAGCAACAGCAGGACAAGUUGGCGGGGCUCAGGCUGCAAGUACAAGGUGGGAUUGCACACAGCUGGACAAGACGCAGGGGUGUCCUGAGCAUCACCACCUGGGUUAGAGUUCCUGAACUUGCCUCAGGAAGCUCAGUACAGCUUAAGGGUGAAGGUCAGGGCUAGAGCUCCUAGAAAGGAGAGAUCUGAUUGGGACUGUAGCUAUUUGGAGGUGGGUAAGGGCUUGAACUCCAGAAUCAGACCAGCUCUGCUACUUGUUAGCUGUGUGACUUUGGUCAGGUCAGCUCUGUUGACCUAUACCCUCUGUCUCCACUUCUUCAUAGGCAGAAUGGAAACAAAGGUGCCUAAAUUACAGGUUUCCGGAAGGAUUAAAUCAGUUAAGAUAUGUAAAGUGCUUAGAAGUACACCUGGCUCUUUGUAAGUACUGCAGAAGUGCUGGUCAGGACUAUUAGUGACACCAGGUUUGAAGAGGGUGAUGAUUACCCAAGGAAAUACUACUUUUCUUGCAACACUAAAAAAGGGUGUGUGUGAGAGAAUGGAAAUCAAGAUGUCAGCCUCUCCUAAACUUAGUUGACUAGAUUAUCUAUUAUUUGCUGUUAAGGGUAUGUGACUGGGGACCACAUAGGCAGGGCUUGUCAUUUAUGGAAAAAUAAAAUUUCACAGUGUUUCCAUUGCAUCCAGUAAUUUGAACAUUAUGACAAAGCCAGUAAGGCAGGCAAGACAAGCGGUUCUUCCCUGUGAGGCUACGUGAGGUCCCCCAAGGGCUGCCCUGAAUCCAGACCUUUUGAGUCCCACUAUGUCACAUGGCCUGGGAGAAGUUCCAAGGCAAAUAAGCCUCUGUUUCCUGUAUCUUCUCAGAUCAGGGAACCUCUGGAGAGUGAUCUUUUGAGCAGAAUUAAUAUUUUUCUAUUUAUUUCAUUGAAAAUAACUCUGCUACGGUCCAAAUGUUUGUGUGCCCCCAGAAUUCUGUAAGUCACCCAGUCCAUGUUAUUUUUGUUACAACAACCUAAACUGACUCUUGUUUGUUGGGUACCUACAUGGAUGAUACUCUGUACUGGGGCACUUUACCUGUGUUAUCUGAGGGGGUGCCCACCCUACCUCCAUGAAGUGCUGCUGUGCGACUGGACAGAGAAGGAAACCGAGACUCAGAGUUUCGGUCAUUUGCCAGUGUCACUGUCCAGGCUGGCCUGAUCUCAAAGCCAGUCCCCACAACAGACAUGCUUCUGCCCAUCCUGGGGCCCUGGAAAGAUGGGUGAAAAGCACUCCCAGAACUCAGCAUAGCUGAGUUCUAAGUAAGGGAAUGUUUUCUGCACAGGUUUUUAUUCUAAAGAUAGCAAAAGGAGACCACUUGGAGAAUGUUUGGCCUUUGAAAAAUCAUACUUUGAAAUAGGCAUCGUGUCUCAGAAGAGCCCUCACUGGCAAGACAAGCUCUAAAAUGGGUCAGAAAUGGGAGUAAAAGGGGUGCGUGCCUGGGUGGCUCGGUUGGUUAAGCAUCUGCCUUUGGCUCAGGUGCUGGGAUUGAGCCCCGUGUUGGGUUCCUGCUCAGUGGGGAGCCUGCUUCUCCCUCUUUCCCUGCUUGUGCUCUCACAGUCUCAAAUAAAAUCUUUAAAAAAAAAUUUUUUUAAAGAAAUGGGAGUAAUGGAGCAAAAUAUGGGUCUUACCUCUCAGUAACAAUCAGAAAUAAGCAAUUCUCUGGGGAAGUUUGUAACUAAUAUAGAACUUUUGCUUAUAUGAGAAAAUAACCAAAGAGAAAUACAAAGCAGAGUUCAGGAAGGUUAGAUAAUAAAUGAUGAGCCCAAGAAAGUUUAGAUCAUUAAUGGCGAGUUAAUAAGAAAUGUAACUUGAAAUACUGAAACAGUUUAAAAUGUUCCAGGAAUAUUACUGUUUAACAAGACAGGUGAGUAGGCCAAGAGCUUACCCUAUGGCUGCAGAGUCAGAAGUCAGGGACUGGGCAAAUGAGACAGUGUGUGACUGUUGGGUGUUCUAGGUGCAUUGUGAUCAAAUGAUUCCCAUAGUCGUAAGCCCUGGAGGAGAUGGGGUGGGGGUGCAGCCUGGGCUGUCAGAGACAUUCUGGAUAUCAGAGAUUUCCCCCACAUAUACAUCAGUCUUGUAGCUCACAUGUCCUAGUGCUUUAGAAAACAACUGCACUAUAUUUGAGGACAACGUGUCCUAGAAACUUACACACAACUUGGACAAGAAUCUAGGAAAACAGAGAUAGAUUAUGUGAAGAUAUGGAAUUGUCUAUAACAAACAAACAAAAAAACCCAGGCAAGUCAAAAGCAUCGAAUUAGAUCAAGUGAUGAUGGUACAGAUACGGGUCCUUAACUGGGGGAGCAAGGGGGGGUCAUUAGGUGAGAACAGUAGAAAUAGGCAUUUGUCCAACAGGCAUUGUGUGCCUGAGGGCAAACCAGGUGCUCUGUGUCCUUAUCCAGCCUUCUCAGGGCCUGGCUGAGGAAGAGGUUUUUCACCCAGCUGGUAACCUUGGUGGGGGUGGAACCUUCACCCCAGAGCAAUUCUGUCUUGUUUCUGGAUGUAGAUUUGAGUUAAGCUUCCCUGGGUAAAAGUUAGGAAAAGAGAAUAUAGAGAUUUCUCAACUGUCUUCAUUGAAAUUGGAGCAGAGAGGAAUGGAUAAAUCAGUUUGGCAAAGAUAAGGCCUAACUUUUAUGGAGUCUUAACCUAUUACAGAGGUGCCUGGGUGGCUUAGUUGAUUUAGCAUCUGACUCUUGGUCUUGGCUCAGGUCGUGAUCUCAGGGUGGUGGGAUCAAGCCCCACAUCAGGCUUCACACUCAGUGCAGAG